CUCGCCCCGCGCUCCUGCCGGGGGGAUAACUGCCGGCACGGCCCGCAGCGGGACGGGGCCCCCGGUCCCGAGGCUGCAGGUGCGGGAGCCACAACGAAAGGAGAUCCCGCUGGCCCUCCCCCCAACGCGUGUGUCCAAGGGACGAGGGCUGCUAGCAAUCCCUCGGCGGAAUUUGCAGCGCUUUGAAAAUUCCACUAGUUUUGAUGCUCUUUUCCCCUCUUUUUAACUGCCUCCAGCCCAGAAAGGACCAGGCGGCCCUCCACAUUCGAAGCGAGGGCUUUGGUACCAAACCAGCCCCCCAACCCUCUUCCCCACGCACACGCACGCAUUUAGAGGACGGAUCCGGCUGCGCCCAGGACCGCUGCGUGCCCCUCCAUGGGCCUCCGUCCGCCUCGGGCUGUGCCACCACAUCACCUCCAUCCCCUGAAGGUUCCCCGGACCGGAACCUGCUCCCACCCGAACCCAACGCGGACAAAAGCAGCAGCCCCUCUGCGCGGCUCCACGGGGAAACCCCCCUCCCCACGCAGGGGCAAAGAGAAGACCCCACGCACUCUCUCAGCUCCACGCAGCCCCUCGGCCGCCCCACGCCGCGCUCACAGCUCCUGAGACGGGUAGUGGUGGCGGUGGGGGGGGGGGGGUGAUCGCCUCCCAGUUGCCCCCAACCCCGUGUAGGGCCCCCUGGGGUAGUGGCAGCAGCGAGAAGCGCGGGGAGCACCAGGAAGGGACGGAGCCGUCCGCUGCUCCGUGCGGAGCGGGGGGAGGCUGUCCUCUUGGCUUUGGGGUUUGUUUUCCAGUGGAUUCGGGACAAUGGCCGGAGAGUAUCGCUCGUUCCCGUGGGCAGUGCCUCCCUGUAUGGCGCGAGGAUGCAGUUGGGGGCCGAGGAACAAAGCGUAUUAAGGUAACGGGUCCCCUCCCUUUGUUUAUGCCAUUGUUCGCGACGGGACUCCGUCCGGCCCCGCUGCGAGGCGUUAGCACGGACCUGGCCGAGGAGCAGCACCAUGGGAGAACCCAAAGCAAGCCCACCGCCACCGCAACAAGGAAGGCACCGAGCCCAAGGGCUGCAGGGUACGAUCUGCCUCCUCGGGGCUGCCGUCCCCAGAUAUCCACCUGCCGUCCUGGCGUCAACCACCUCCGCAUCCAUCGCCACCAUCUCGGGGAGACGCCGGCCCUCAGCCCGGCAUCAGAAAGAAGGGAAAGAGCGUUGCAUUCACACGCACGCUGCUUGAGCGUGGCAGAGCUCUCACCGUCUUCACAACAACAACAGCAACAACAACAACAAAAAAACCCUAACCAAAUAAUUCUCUUAAUUACAAUAACCUAACGGUAGCAGAAACCUGAGCGUUUGUUGACUCAUUUUCUUCUCCUCGAGGUAGCGGAUGGUAUUUAAAGUUCAACACUUCACACAGCGCCUUGUUUAGUUUAAUUUCCCCGACCAUCUCGGCGAUUUCAGCAAACGGAGUGAAGAAUUUUGGUACACAUUUGGCUUUGGACAAGUGGUCUACCUGGCUGCGUGCGACCAGCCAGGAGAGCGGCGGAGCUCCAGCUGGAAGCAGAGCCUGCAGCUGAGCGAGCACCGCGCAUCGGCCCGACGGAGCUGGCAGCAACGCGUCGCCGAGCACUUCCAAAACUAAUAACAAAAAGGUUACUAUAUAUAAAAGCCUCACUACAUCCCACACCGCCUCAAGUUGUUUAAAUUUCGAGUUUAUGCACAUAAAUAUAGCAGCCGUGCGGUUCCCCAUUAGCCAGCCCUUGCUUUUUUAAAGAAAUUCAUUUCAAUUUGAAAGGAUGGCUCGGGACGCAGGACAGUCAGCAGUGCUUGGGGUUUCUGCACUCAACCUCGGGACCUCGGAGAGAAAUAGAGUCUGUCUGUGCCAUUUCACGCGCACAUCUCGGAGCCUUCACAUUGGGUUUAGGAGCGGGCCUACCAGAAACAAGGGCUCCAUCCUCAGCUCUUCUCCCCUUUUUAAUACGUUUCCCCCUUUCCCAUCCCAGCUCCCUCUGAGGAGGGAAUAGUUCUGCUGGCACCCCGUGCGUAGACCUUGGAGGGCACGGCACAACUGUGGGGCCUGAAGGCACCAUCCCCAUAGGCAGCAAUCCUACCCACAGGACGGUGAGGGAACACGUGGGGUGCUCAGACACCUGGCAUUGGAGGCCUGAAAGCCACCCCAAGCUGCCACUAAGGAAAGUCUGUUCCCAAACAGAAUGCUCUGUGAAGUUCAGUGCUGCUGUCAAAUGGGUUCCAACCGUCCCAAGCCUACAACAAAGACCUCCACUUGGUAUAUGGCCACUUUGCCAGUGAGCGUGCCUUGCUGAACCCCUCUGUUUGCCUUGGAGGUGUCACGCUGAUGGAGCGCUGCCUCCUUGCCCCUCAAUAGGAGCAAUUCAGGAAAGUUCUGGUUAGCUUUUUGCCCGUGUAGCUGCAGAAACAUGUGCUAUCAGAAACAAGCCCAUGUUGGAAGGUAUCAUUUUCAACAUGUGAGUGGGAAACAUACGCACUGGCACAGUCCUACUGCUCUGUAAGGGCUGCACUCAGAUUUUGGCUUUUAGUCUCAACUCUGUUAUGGAGAUGCAAAAUGGAAGGGAAGGUGCUUAUUUGUGCUGCAUCUUCGUGAUAGUCGUCCUAUAACCAUUAGGAGGAGAAGCCAAACACUCUGCUGGAGCUCUGGGUGAACCCGACACUGGGGGGACUCGAGGCUUCACAGGUUCUCACUUCACUGCCUCUCUUCCCUUUGGAUUUGUUAUAUAGGAUUUUUUUUUUCCCUUUUUGUCUGCUGUUCUGUGUUUUAAAGUAAGGAGAGGCCAAAUCCUGCUGGGAGAGCUCUCUCCCUCCAUCACAAACUCACGUUUGGAAAAUGCCUCCCCCCUCCAAGCCAACCUUCCCCUUCCGGAGGAGAAAAGCAAACCUUUAAGCAGAGCCAUGGCGGGGGGGGGGAGGGGGGGGACCCCUGGUUCCUUGGUGACCUUCCUGCAGACAAACCCUGUGGAAAAACACAUCUGCACCCAGUCCAGUUUAACGUGGUUUGGGGUCCAUACAACUGAGGAUCCAUUUUAGCACUUUCGAGGGGUAAUAAUAAUAAUAGUCAUAAUAAUAAUAAAGGAGCGGGGAGAGAAAGUUUGGCUUUAACCGUUUGCUGCUGAAAAAGGCACCACAAACAAAGCCUCAGCUGACAGCAUUAUAAGUGUGCCUAUCCCACAGGCAGCCCUUUCCACGAGGGAGGGGAGCAGAGGCACACAGUGGCACCCAAAAAGCUCUGAGCGCUGCCAGCAGCACCCUGUGCCCACACCACGUACAGUGCCUGGCCUGCUGGGGUGGCACACAGCAACCCGGGUUGGGCAAGGGAGGUUUGGGAGUGUUGGAGGCGCACAUACACACAGAGGGCUGUGUGUGUAUACAUCUUUAUAUAUAGAUCUACAUGUAGGUGUAGAGCCUAUGUUUAAACCCUCCUAUAUAUACACACAGCCCUCCUCGGAUGAGGUCAUUUUCCCAUAUAGACGGGAUUGGGUGCGCGAUGCCAACAUCCAUCGCCAAGAUCCUCUAUCUCCACAGAUCUGAGACAGCACCAAGCACAGCAGUGGAACUACACUGGGGAGAUACACACUCGAGACACACAGGCUGUGUGAGGGGUCCCUCGGGCUCCUCUCCUACCCGAGCACCUGCUCACCCCAUGCCCAAAGCCAGCUCGGAGCAGGGCUGGGGCUGCACCUUCAAGUUUCCACCCUCCAUCCCUUUCCACAACGACGCUCUCCUCUAUCGCACCGUGGGUUAACACACAGAUACAUCUUCCCCCGUGGCUCCAAAGGUCUCAGUGUUUUUGGAUUUGGGAAAAGCGCUGAGGGCAGGGAGGAGAGAUGCUGCCUGAACGCAGCGCUUGGGAAGGUUUCGCCUUCCAGCUCCCGGUGGCACCGGCAGACAGCUCCAUUAAAAAAGUGGUUUUCCAGUGCUCUCAAAAAGCCGUUAUUUUUUUUACAUCGCUUUUAGGAAGAUGGAUUAACAAAACAUCGCGUUUCAAGCCACUCUGAUCUGUAAUUAAACGGAGGAGCCGGUUUGUAUUCUCCUAUGGCUUUUACAGAAGUUGCAGUGAUCCAAAGUCAGGUUGCUGUGUCAGAGUGGCAUUUUUAUUAAUGAGAACACAAAAAGCUUGCAUAUUCUUAGCCCGGCUUGAAUUUAGUUGCUAAGCAACCGCUGUAUGGUAAUUCAUCCGCGAAAUUUAAAUCUUUCAGAAAGGACGCUGCGCUGUGCUCAGUGCUCGCCACGAGGAAAACAACCGCGUGGGACCCGCG
ensembl:lncRNA